UUAAAUCAGGAGCAUAUAAUAACGCUCGCACCGGUUCAGUGGUCGCGUAUGAAGCGAGGCGGCGAAAACAACCAGUCAAGCAAGCAGCCGAGGUAUCAGCACCUCCGAUUUCAAUCUUUACUAUCCGCGUACCAGAGGUUCCAGUAGUCGCGUAUAGGAAGCCUCCAUUUAAUGAACCAUCUGACAUUACUGCCAUGCGAUGAACGUCCAACUCACCGAGUCCACCUGGUUCGCCCCCUGAUAAAACGACUUUCUCUAGUGUCUCUUGAUUUGAAUCGGUGAAGUCCAGGCUGAACAUCCAAAUACAACCAGCACGCAAAGCACAUUCUGACAACUUGCAACCUGCAGCUGCCGAGCCAACAUACCCAAAUUCCCCAUUUGAAAUCACUGAUUUAAACGUGGUGAAGCGCCCUUGUGUUCUCGAGUCUUCCGAAACCACGCCCUCACAUUCUCUCGUGACGCGACCCCCAUCAAAAUACAUUUCGUCACCAUCACCACUAAAACCUGUCGUACUCGCCUUUAUUUUAAACAGGGAAGGAAAAUAAGCAGUAUCAGAAGGCUCCAGCCGUGAUGACCCAGCAAAAAUUAUCGUCCCCUCGUCGUUCACACUUGCAUACGUCGCGGCAUUGAAACGAAAUGCAUCUCGGCGAUCAACGCAGCUACUGCACGUAGUCUGCAGGUAGCUCGGAACAAUCUGCUUCGUCACAAUAGAUACAAGAGAACCACCUUGAACCUUAAGAAUUCCAACCCGAGACUUUGUAGCAAUGUCCUUUGGUGUUGCCUUGUACACCAGCGUCCCCUCUGCUUCGUUAACCGCCAUCGCGUCCAGUAUCCAGCCUUCUGUUCCGCCCUGGAGGUAGCUGUGGCUGUAAGCGAGGGCAUUAUUUGACGCAAGUGUCCCUUGCGUACCAUCCCAACGAAAAACUCGAAACUGGUAAUCAUACGGGUCAGAAGGCGUGGUAAUUUGAGCCUGAGGUUUCCACAUGUUGAGAGCUGAGUAAACGUGAGAAAACGUACCCGUGGAAUCCAGCACGACAUCGCGGUACCCCCCUGGACCUUGCCAACCAUGUGCGCUUUGGUCAGCAGAGGUCCAACCAGGAACAGACAAACCACCAGGAUGGCCUUGAGUGCACGAGCCAACGCCCGUAACACCAGUUCCACACCAGGUGCUGUCAUCGGGAGACAUCGCGAGCGGCUGGUGAGAUGAUGCGGGUCGCUUUGGUCCAGAUACAUCCCAGCCAGAAUGCCCAGGCAUAGCGUCUGUAAUUGAAGUGAGUUCGACAGCGGCGUCAACUCCUGUCGCGUCAUAAACUCUGACGUACACGGUGCCAGUUUUCUUAGUAUCAUACACGGCGUCUGCUGCGAGCUGAUCCCCUUCAAUUUCAGACGAGGUCGUAUACUUAUAUCCAUAGGUGUCAUCGCGUCUCUUUUGCAGAGAUAAGCCUGCUCUCACCUGUAUCACAUAAACAUUGGAAGCAGGUUCAAAGUGACUGAGAGUUUUGUAGUCUUUAAAACGAAAAAAAGCAGCAAACAGGUAAGCAACUGUUUUAAAGAAAUAAAGAUGUGUUCAAACUGACAAGUGAGCAGUCUACUCCUGCACGACCAGUCGCGCACGUGCACGAGCCGUCGGCCUGUGAUGAGGGCACGGAUGCAUUUGAGAAUACAGGCUUGUUCGUAUAUUUAGUCGGGGUUCAGCUGGCUCAAAGCGAGAAUACGUACUGGCGUGCACUUUGUUGAGCUUGCACGUGUUGGAUCUUACCUCACACCGACCGUAAGCAUUUUCGCUGUUGCAACCACGGGGACAGAAGAAGUAGGUUUGCUCGGCCGCGGGGCGCGGAACGAACGUUAGCACCACCAGAAGAAUCGUGAAGACCCGUGAAUUGAACUUCAGCUGCAUGUAUCUCGCAAAAAGGGCUCCGCAGGGAAAAGGAACCUCCGGUUGAAUCAACUGCGAAGGUUCAGAGUUCAAAGUCGAGGGCGAUUGACAUGUACGUUUGCAUCUGCAGGCAUGUGAUGUCCCUUUAAGCCCCGAACCGGCUCGAUAUGCAGUUCUCGGGUCACGUACACAUACAAAAUUACACCAUCUUCUACUCGUAUUUUGCUACAUACUGUAUCUAUCUUUAUCUUCCAAGGUAUUUAUCUUCGUAAGGUGUAACAACUUAUGUACGUGUACACGUGUACAACUCACUUCCGGAAGUAUUGAUAACUUUGUACACGAGCCCUAGCUAGAGAUAGCUAAUACGAAGGUAGAUAUCUAGAUAGGAUACCUUCGAAGGUACAAUAUAUAUUAUGUAGUUGUACUUCCGGAAGUACUUCGGAAGUACUUUCGAAAGUAUCAUAUAUACUUUCGUACGAAGGUAGAACUAGAACUACAUAGGGCCUACAGUAUUUGCAUUGACCUUCGAAGGACGGGAAGCCGACUCGUAGGAGCCUUUCAAAAAAAGUCGCCGAGGGGUCAGAAAACCGCUAGCCCGACCUCCUAAAAUCGCGAAACUCGAGGAGGGCAUCGGUGGCAUGAUAAGCAACAACGUGCCGAAGGUUCGAAUCGAUCGACGCAGCGACGGCGCGUGGGCGCGCACAAAAGUACGCUUUUGCGAUUCAGGAAAAAUACGCAUACAAAUUUUGUAAGGUACGGAAGUAAUCGUAAGUUGCUUGUUACUUUUGGCAGUGGAUUUUUUUUUCACCAGAGCGUGACCUUAAGGUUAAGGAAAGUAUCUAGCUAUCUACUGUACACCUUCAAAGUUAAAUAGCAAGAUACCUUCAUAGCUGACCAAUAAGACCUACUUCCGGAAGCAGCUAGCUAGUACCUUCGGUAGGCCCUAGCUAGCUAGAUAAACCUUUCUUCGAAAUUAUAGAACGCUAAAACAGUCUUACGAAGGUACCUUCGUACAUAUGUACACGUAGUCAAGUACCUUCGAAGGUACGGAAGUACAACUACUUUCAAAGUACUAUUAUUUAUUUCGUACGAAAGUACGAAAGUAUUCUAUCCGAAGGUACUAAUAAAGUACUUCCGUACUAAAGUACUUUCGAAAGUACGAAAGUACUUCCGAAGAUAUUUGUAAGACUACGUGUACACGUACAGCUGUACACGUGUACAUGUAGCCUUCGUAGCUACUUUCGAAAGUACUUUCGAAAGUACUUUCGUACGAAAGUACGAAGGUACUUUCGUACUUAAAUUCUUUCGAAAGUACUGUACCUUCGAAGGGAAAACAAUGUACUCGUAAGCCUGUCUAACAAAAUAUCAUUCAACGAUAAACUUGGUAAGGAAGACCAUCAGCACUGGAUGUGUUCUAGCUGUACAGCGCUGAACUUCCCUAUGCCCUCUAAACUAGACUAAGGAUCUCGCAUAAUUAAUGGAGCUUUAAGGUCACACUCCGGUAAUCAAAUUUCCCGUGCCAAAACCUUAAGGGUCGAACCCCCUGUAGUACAAUCACGCACUACGGCGCUAGCCGGCACGACAACCACGACAUUAUCAGGGCAGCUGACGCAAAAACACCUCCCAUCACAAUUCCUUCGUGCGCCUUUCCAGGAUUCAACUCAGCCCUCAGCGCUGCCGGCAAGAGAAGCCGGAACGUCGCUGAAGCUGCCGCCGAUGACGACAAAGCCUGAAGCCCAAUGUUCGUGGCAAGAGCAAAACCCUGGCCGCCAGUAACGCGUGCAACAAGGAACAUGGUGAUGGGAUGUACUGCAGCAAUCGCGCACGCGGUACCGGCGGCAGUACUUGGCGUGAAACCAGCUGAAAUCCCGGCGGCGAGGACUGCGACCACUUUUGGUGCACUGUGAAACAAAGAGGUGCGGAAAGGGUUUGCUUCGGGAACUGUCACCGCGCUGACAAAAUUGGCACCAUCAGUCGCAAAGAGGAGGACGCAUGCGAGCAUGCCAGCUUGUGCAACAUCAGCAGCGCUGCCGGCGCUAUUCAGAACUACAGUGUCACGGCAGUGAAUUUCGCUUCCCCCGCCAGCCCAACCAACAAUAUUGUGCUGGUCAUCUUCGUCAUCACGUUUCUUACCACGUGCAAUACUCCAAGUGGCGGACCCUGCGAAAGAAACUACCUUGUACAGGUGCACGAUACUGCUACCUACGAUGAUGCCAACGAAAGCAGCAAAACAGUGUUCGCUGCCUAUCGAACACCGACGGCAAAUUGACACUAGACACGCCAAGCUAGUGAUGCUUAACGCACCAGAAGAUGCCCCUAGAGUCUUCGCGACACUAAAGAACUCUGAUGAACUCCGAUGUCGAUGAAUAAGACUGCCUCCAACCCUCAUCACGUCUCCUACAUCAACAAGUCGCCUCAAGUAUUCACGGGUUAGCUUCUUAAGUUCAAGCCAGGGAAGAAGGGAGGGCAGAAAAGCCGCUGCAGAAAACAAGAGCAAAGGGAACACCAUAUGGGCAAGCGCAGCAGUGACAAGUUCAUCCACACCAGCAACACGCGUGGGGGCUAUCAGGGGCAACAAGCUAUCCACCACGCUGUUAUUGAAGACAUGAGCGGCAGGUCCCACCGAGAUAUGGUCAUGGUCGCCACCGAAUCCGCUAACCUUCACAUUCAAGGAAUGCCCAGUAUCUUCAAAAUACCCGUGUUCAUUAUCGAAGGCCUUUAUUAACAUUCUAAACCCCUCCAGAGCUGCCGCUGCGAGCGUCGCAAAAGUUGCAGUUGUUUCAGCU
rnacentral:lncRNA from 1 species